UGGCUGGCUGGCCGCGGCUGUCACUCCGGGGCGUUUUCCCCGGCCGGCUCUCAGCUGGGGCGGAGGAAGAGGCGGCCUGGGCCUGCCGAGCCGUUGCAGUCUCCGCGGCUGCUAUGCCCAGGGUGCGCGGCGCCCUCCGCAGCUCCGCGCAGCGCUAGAGGCGGCCGAGCGCUCGCCGACGCCGCCCGGAUCCCCGGUGCCUCCGCUCUCCCGCUCCCGCAGCUCCCGCGGCUCCUCCGGCGUCGCCUGCGAGGCCAGGCAGAGGCAAGAUGAAGAUGACGGUGGAUUUCGAGGAGUGUCUGAAGGACUCGCCCCGCUUCAGGGCUGCCUUGGAAGAAGUAGAGGGAGAUGUGGCAGAGCUGGAACUAAAACUCGAUAAGCUCGUGAAGCUUUGUAUCGCAAUGAUCGAUACCGGCAAAGCCUUUUGUGUGGCAAAUAAACAGUUCAUGAAUGGGAUCCGAGACCUGGCACAGUAUUCUAGUAAUGACGCGGUGGUUGAGACAAGUUUGACCAAGUUUUCUGACAGUCUUCAAGAAAUGAUAAAUUUUCACACAAUCCUGUUCGACCAAACGCAGAGAUCAAUUAAGGCACAGCUUCAGAACUUCGUUAAAGAAGAUCUUAGAAAAUUCAAAGAUGCCAAGAAACAAUUUGAAAAAGUCAGCGAAGAAAAGGAAAACGCACUAGUGAAAAACGCCCAAGUUCAAAGGAACAAGCAGCAUGAAGUGGAAGAGGCCACAAACAUCCUCACGGCCACGAGGAAGUGCUUCCGGCACAUAGCCCUGGACUACGUCCUUCAGAUUAAUGUGCUUCAAUCAAAGAGGAGAUCAGAAAUCCUGAAAUCAAUGCUGUCCUUCAUGUAUGCACAUCUGGCCUUCUUCCAUCAAGGGUAUGACCUGUUCAGUGAGCUUGGGCCCUACAUGAAAGACCUUGGAGCACAGUUGGAUCGACUGGUUGUGGAUGCAGCAAAGGAGAAAAGAGAGAUGGAGCAGAAACACUCUACUAUCCAGCAGAAGGCUGCAUUACAGGACUUCUCCAGUGAUGAUUCCAAGCUAGAGUAUAAUGUAGACGCAGCGAAUGGCAUUGUCAUGGAAGGGUAUCUCUUCAAGCGGGCCAGCAAUGCCUUCAAAACGUGGAACAGGAAAAAGCCCGAUCAUAUCAGACGCUGGUUCUCCAUACAGAACAACCAGUUGGUUUACCAGAAAAAGUUCAAGGACAGCCCCACUGUGGUGGUGGAGGACCUCAGGCUCUGCACCGUGAAGCAUUGCGAGGACAUAGAGCGGCGCUUCUGCUUCGAGGUCGUCUCUCCAACCAAAAGUUGUAUGCUCCAGGCCGAUUCGGAAAAGCUUCGCCAGGCCUGGAUUAAGGCAGUUCAGACCAGCAUUGCCACCGCCUACAGAGAGAAGGGCGAUGAGGCCGAGAAGCUGGAUAAAAAGUCAUCUCCAUCAACAGGAAGCCUAGAUUCUGGAAAUGAGUCAAAAGAGAAGUUACUGAAAGGAGAAAGCGCACUGCAGCGUGUCCAGUGUAUCCCUGGCAACAGCAGCUGUUGUGACUGUGGUCUGGCAGACCCACGGUGGGCCAGCAUCAACUUGGGCAUUACCUUGUGUAUUGAGUGCUCUGGGAUUCAUCGGAGUCUUGGGGUUCAUUUUUCGAAAGUACGAUCUUUAACUUUAGACACUUGGGAGCCUGAGCUUUUAAAGCUUAUGUGUGAAUUGGGAAAUGAUGUUAUAAAUCGUGUUUAUGAAGCUAAACUGGACAAAAUGGGAAUAAAGAAACCACAGCCAGGACAAAGACAGGAGAAAGAGGCAUACAUCAGAGCAAAAUAUGUGGAGAGGAAAUUUGUGGAUAAAUACUCCAUGGCAUCAUCACCUUCUGAGCAGGAGAAAAGGGUUAUCUCCAAAAGCUGCGAGGAGCAGAGGCUGAGCCAAGUCAGAGCAUCUGUCCACACCGCAGUGGCUGCUGUAAAUAGCGACGAGGCCAGGCGGGAGUCUCUGUUCUGUCCUGAUGAGCUAGACUCACUCUUCUCCUACUUUGAUACUUCUUCAAAACUGCGUAGUAUCAAAAGUAACGACAGUGGGAUCCAGCAAGGCUCUGAUGAUGGACGGGAGUCUCUACCUUCCACCGUGUCAGCCAAUAGCUUGUAUGAGCCUGAAGGAGAAAGGCAAGAGUCUUCUGUGUUUCUGGACUCGAAACAUCUUAAUCCAGGACUUCAGCUUUAUAGGGCUUCAUAUGAGAAAAACCUUCCCAAAAUGGCUGAGGCUCUGGCUCAUGGUGCAGAUGUGAACUGGGCUAAUUCAGAUGAGGACCAAGCGACAGCACUCAUCCAGGCUGUUCUGGGGGGCUCUUUGGUGACGUGUGAGUUCCUCUUACAGAAUGGUGCUAAUGUGAACCAAAGAGACGUCCAAGGGCGGGGCCCGCUGCACCAUGCCACUGUCUUAGGACACACAGGGCAGGUAUGUUUAUUCCUGAAGCGAGGUGCCAAUCAACACGCCACUGAUGAGGAGGGGAAGGACCCCUUGAGUAUUGCUGUGGAAGCAGCCAAUGCCGACAUAGUGACCUUGUUACGUUUAGCAAGAAUGAAUGAAGAAAUGCGGGAAUCAGAAGGACUUUAUGGACAGCCAGGUCAAUAUUCUACUAAUAAUCAUACUGAAAUGCAGUAUAAAAAAUGCAUUCAGGAAUUUAUCAGUUUACAAUUGGAAGAUUCCUAGUUCCUUAGCUAACUAAUGUGAUGUGAUAGAGAUUUUAUGAUGUACUUGUAAAUUGUGAAUUGUUAGCUGCUGUACUGUACCUACUGAAUUCUUGGGUGGCUAAUCCUGGACCUUUGCACACUCGGACAUGUUCCUGUUUCAGUUCACUUUCCUCACUGUGCUAGUCAGCUCUGGCUGCUGACGUCCUUCUCGGCUGUACAGACGUCUUCCAUCUGCACCAUAUGCAUUCCAGCUCCGUGAGCACACGCUGGGCAGACUGUGCUGCCGCAGCAGAGAAGCAGUUUCUAAAAGAAUUCUUGGGUUUAUUUUAUUUAUUUUAUUUUUUCCAGACAGGGUUUCUCUGUGUAGCCUUGGCUGUCCUGGAACUCACUCUGUAGACCAGGCCGGCCCUGAACCCAGAGAUCCACCUGCCUCUGCUUUCCGAGUGCUGGGAUUAAAGGCGUGCGCCACCACCGCCUGGCUUCAAAAAGAAUUCUUGUUAGCUGUCCAGUGAAUAUAACAAAAUGGGUUUCUUUUUGUUAUUCAGGGAAUUUAUAUACAUUGUGUUCAGGGAAAAAAAAUUAUGUGUUUUGUAUAUAAAAAGUUAGUGUGGAAAAUACCAUGAAAAAGUUUAUUGAUGAGUUUUAUAUUCUAACCUAAGAAUGAGUUAAAGAUUUAAAGUAAAACUUUGCCAGUAAGUUAAAGUCCACAGUGGGUGUAGAAUUAGUUGCAAAGGCUGACGUUUAUCUGUAGCUCUGCCCCAGGCAUUUGUACACUAUUUGCUGGGGUAAAUAGAUGUAUUUAGAACAAUGUUUGUGAACCUGAUGGUGAAGAAGACUUACUAAAAACCUCUUUCCAUGUUGACUUCAGUCUUUAUCUCGAGUAGUUUUCACUGGUGAGUCAUGGUGUGAAGAAAGGACAGAAAGGUGGAUCAGAUUCUUCUGUGUGAUGGAUACAGCUUCAUGAAAGGAGAGUGCAUUCUGGUUCAUAAAUUUGAGUAUAGGAAUUACUGAUUCAUCUGCAUAUCACUAAACAUUUCAGGAACUCAUGACUGAAGUACUUACAGACAUUCACUUUGCAAUGAGCGUAUUUGGUUUUAUAAAAAUUGAAUUUAUAUUAUUAUUUUUAAAGUGGCCUGGUAAAAUCCUCUCUCCUUCCUUGAACUAUAUUUUGAAUUUCUGUACUUUAUGUUAAUAACUUCAGCCACAUACUUGAUUUUGGCUAUAAGUAUAUCAGUGUGAGGCCAUUAUUUUCUCAGAGGACUUACUUACUGUUUAUUUUUGGCCUGAUGUAAUAGGGAAGAAAAAAGGACCUGGAUCAGAUGCACACUUCUAAUCUAGGGUGUUUCGCUUUAAUCCUAUGGAUCACUAUGAGUCAGGAUGUUCUAAGAUGUCAGUGUGCUAAUUAUGGGUGAGACUCAGCGCUAAGUCUGGAUUUCACCCAUUUGUUUCAAUGGAAUGUUAGAUCUUAAAUGAGUUCUAAUUUUGUAACAGAUAUCUUUAAAUGAUAGUAUUACUAGGCCAUUUCUGAGGCCUUUGUGUUUAAGCACUUUAAAUAAAAGUUUAUCAAAGACACUGAGCUGACAUUUGUGAGGUAACAGUGAACUGCAAGAUUGUAAGUUAAGGUACAUUUGUAUUUCCCCGAAAUUGUAAAGGUCAGUGUUGAGCCGGCUGCAUCUUCUUUAAGAUGCUUGCUGUGGUGUCCGCCUGGAUGGUGAGUCAGAGGUCAGAGGUCAGAGGUCAGCGGUCCACUUGCUCUGCAGGUGGAAAUUUGCAAGGGCGGGACCUUUCUCUUUGCUCCAUUCCAGUCCUACCCAGAUGGCUUGAGUUUCUUCUUUCACUGUUGUCUUUGUGCAGGUUUAUAUGUAAAUAGAGGAACUUCUAGGUAUCAAGAGGAAUAUCAUUUUUUCUCAGUUUCAAUGAAAAUAGGAAAACAGGUUUCACUUUAAAACUUUUUUUUUUAAUUCGCAAAUUUUAAUUUAGAAGUUAAAAAUUAGAAUUCUGCCAGCCAUGCCAGAUUAAAAGUAAGAUUGAAAAAACUGUUUGAGAAACAUCUUGAAAAGAAUUGGAUUUUAGACUCGGUGUCAGGGUCCCAAGUUUGACAGUGACUAUUUUGUUUGCGGGUUGUGGUGUGUUGGCCCAGCAGCUGCUCUCUGGUGUCGUCCCCGUUCCCCCCCCCCCCCCAGUCCUGGCAGAGCAGGUCUGCUGGCCCAGGCAACAGCAGCAGCCCUCCCUUUUCCCUCUGCAUCUCACUCAUUUCCCUGCAGACCGUGCCUGUUCGCUGGCUGGCAUCCUAGCAACAGGAAGGAAGCAGCGGCAGAGCGGAGUGGUUGGUGUGUAGGCACACAGCCUGUCAGUCUUUCGAUAGUGACAGGUCUGCCAGUUAAAGGACCCAGUAAAACACUUGGCGAUCAUGGACUCAUUUGUAGGAAACCCUGUUUCUAAACUUGUGUCUGUAGUCCUAUUUUUCUUGCAAGGAGUAUUAAGAGCAUACAGCUUCUGAAAGGAAGGUGGGUUCUCUUUUAGCAGCCUUUCAGAGCUCUUAGGUGGCCUGGCUGGGUGAGGGUUAGCACACUUUGCUCUCAGUGGUGAGAAAUCAGUUAUGUGUUUUCCGGUUCUGGCGCUGGGUCUCAUGAAGGCUGACAGAUUCUCAGCCAGUGGGCAGUCAGUGCAUUAGGGAGCCACUUCUGGUCAUGUGAGUGUAUGGCUUCUGGGACCCCUCCAGUCAUUUGUAGAAGGAAAUGUUCCCAACCAGAAGGGGCAGGAUGAUGCCUACGGUCCUUUGAGAGCGUCCGUUUCAGCAGUGAGUUCACUGAACUCUUUCAGGCAUGCUAACUGCUGUUGUGGUAAAUAUUCUGAAUACCAAAAACUAAAGUGAGUUUUAAACUGCCAGUGGAAACACAGCAGUCUAUAUUUAAAAAAUUCAGAAUUGUUCAGGCACAUAAAAAACUCGAACUUUCUGAAUGAGGAAAAGUAUGAUUAAGUGAUUUAAAGAAUAUGCUUAGCUGUUUUUUGUAGUAAGCUGUUCAGCGUAUUAAUAGGAAGAUGUAUCCUGGAACCUGGUUUAUGUGUUCUAGUUCAGAGAAGUUAGACUUGCCUUGGGAAAAAUUUCAAGUGAUUAAAAUCUCCUCAAAGUUUAGGUAAUGAAGUUCACUCUGUGUCAACGGCUUUAAGUAAGUCGCUGUUGUUGCUUUGGACAGCACAUUUUGAGGUCUAAGGAAGGCAGCAUAUUAGUAGUGCAUUAUUAAUUUUAAAAAAUUGAACUUAAUGAGUUUUGUGUGUGAAGCUAGAAACUUCCUUUUGUAUUGUACGGACUCUUAAAUGUUUGCGGUCGGUGAAACCAAUGAUUACUACAGCACCAACACUCUGCUUCGAGAACACAUUAAUUCAGUGGGUGAAAGGUCUUUGAAUUCGUUUUGCAUGGUACAAUGGUACUGAAAAUGUACUUGUGUAAUAUGUACUAGGCGAUUUAAAAUCAAACACUAGAAAACCAUAAAGAAAAACAGCUUGUUAUACAGAAUAUGCAUUGCUGAAUGUAGAAGCCAUAUCUCGCCAUUGUACUUCUGUACACUUGAGAACACUCAUCUGGUGCUAUCUGUGAAUGACUUGGCGUUAGCGUCUGCUAGACCCUUCUCCUGUUUCUUCCUGAAUAUAUAAUGUGUGCCUUUUAUGUUACUUCUGGUGUUGGAUGGUAAAAUCAAUGUAGUAUUUUUGUAUUAUAAUCUGCACUUUACACUUUCUUGGAAAGUAAAAUUCUAGACUAUCUGAAUAGUAUUUUAAAAAUAUUUGUAAUGUUUACAAUAAAUAUUUUACAUAUUUUAAUUCAACAUCUAAAAAGAGAACAAAUUAAACUAUUUUGUAUGGUUUGUUAAUUGUUAUUUAAUGUUGCGCUCUUCUCUGUUUCUUUGAUGUCCUGUAGGAUGGCCAAGCACAGGGGUAGUUGUAGUGUGUCAUGCUGUAAUCGGACGGUCUGCCCAGUUCCAGCAGACCAGCCUUCCGUUUGCUUCCGCUCUAACCUCCAGCCAGCCUGUUCAAAUUCUCUUCUCUCUGUAUUUUCCCCUCUUAAAGUAGAUUGAGUAGGGUUAACUGAGUAUUUAAUGUCAUGAUUCAAUUCCCCAGAUUUUAAUAAAUUGCUUUUUACAUAGACUGUCAAAAGUACUAAAUAUUAAGAGUACUAUAAUCUUUUUAUUAAAUUUCUUAUGAUUUUAGGUCUUUUUACUAGAUUUUUAUCUGGCCCCCUCAGUAUUUUUCUAAUUCUCUAGCUUUAGGUAUGACAUCUGUGUCCUCUACAACCUUGCUUUGUAAGACUUGAGGAGUUUACUGUACUGUUAACAAUACUGUAAUAAUGAGAUUGUUGUAAGAUGGGAUGCAAGGGGUCUCAGAGGAAAUAAUGAUAAAACCAUGUGGUGACAAGAAUCAUAUAAAACAGUAUUUUAUGCUCAAGUGAGAAUAGAAUUGUGCCAGGAGCCUCUACUAACAUAGUGUUGGCAGGAGUAAGUCAUCCUGAAAAUGAGAUUUCUCCCUUCGAGGGAUAAAUAUGUACGUGUGUGUAUAUAGUUCCUCGGUAAGGAAAGUUGUGCCCACCUUGCUGUAAAGUCCUUCUCUAUAAUCUGCGUCUCUGUAACCGAGUGUUGAGUGUACACACAUGUUAAUUCCUCCAAUUGUGAAUAGAUUCUUGGGUAUCCUUUCCCGUUUUGCAUAGUGUUCUUGCUCUUAAGUCUACUGACAGUGUGGAGCUCUGGUCUUGUAGUCACUUUCUGGCCUUUUGACUUAGUUUAGUGAGCAGUGGAUCAGAUACCAAUGUUCUAAACCUUAAAGUAUAUGUGAACUCCUUUGUACAAACAGCAGUUUCAGUGGAAAGCACUUGAAGAUGGUGUAGGAAGCUCUUCCUGGCUGUUGACCAGCUUGUCUCCUUAGUAACCUGCAUCCACCAGAACCUUAACUAGCAUUUGGCUUUAGGCAUUCCUUUUCACUUUUACCCACCUGAGUAUUUUCUUAUCAAAUGUGCUGUGUGCUUCAUCUCGAGUAACCUCUCCUGCCGUGUGCUAAUGGAUGUUUCUUCACAUUGCUUUCACUGCUCGCCUCUCGCUCCUCCCUAACUCUGAGCUCCCCCCACGGCGCGUCUGGGCUGCUUCUCUCAGGUGAUGAAACUUACCAGGACAUCUUUCGUGAUUUUUCUCAAAUGGCAUCAAAUAAUCCAGAGAAACUCAAUCGUUUCCAGCAAGAUUCACAGAAGUUCUGAGCCUUUUAAGAGGGGAAACUAUGAAAUUUGGUGAAUUCCUAAUGUGUACAACCAAAAUCUCACCCCCCCCCUUUUUUUUUUACUGCUUUAAUUCUGCUUGAUUUUGGUGGACAUUGAAUUGUUUGGAAAAAAUGGUACCCAUUCAUUGGUAUUUUUGAAAAUGAAAACAGAUCUUUCAUAAUUGGGAAAGGGAGAAAUCCACUAUAGUUCUUCUUUUAUUUAAGAAGAAAAAAGCCUAUUAAUGGGUUGUGCUUUUAUAUAAAGUUGUAUCCAGAGCUGGACCAUCCUCUCUUAAGUUCUGAGAUGCUACACUGUUAGGCCCCUGCACCCUUUGCCAUGGGUGGUACACGGUUCCCCCAGGAACAUUGAGUCACUAUGCCUGCGUCAGGUGGGAACCAGUUUUCUUACCUGUAUCAAGGAUGUUUCUUUCCUAUAGCUUCCCUGAUAGAUGCAUGUGUGUUUUCUGGUAGCUUCGCUGUGGUACCCACGGUAUGUGAUGUAAUUGCGAGGACUAGUGAGGGUGUUCCUCAUUUGCUCGGACAGGCCAUCGCACUUGCGGACUUGACAGACAUGGCUGCUGCACAGUGGACCACACAUUAGUCUUUAGACUCAUUUCAUCUUACGGUGCAGAGGAGCGCUUCCUUUUUCUUCUGUCAAUCUCCACAAGACUCCCAGCUUGCUUUUUAUUGUUGGAUUGGUUUCCUAAAACCUUGACAGAUCAUCAGUGCAAUAAAACGAUUUCAGAGGUUGACUAUUACAAAAUUGGGCUUUCAUCAAAACAGGGUGAUUUCAAAGAUAAUGUAGGGCAUUUUUAUAUUUGGAAUUUAUCCAUUUAUAUAUAUAUAUAUAUAUAUAAAAUUUAUAUAUAUAUAAAAUUUACUGUUACUCCUGGUGGAAGAUGUAAGGAAAAAAAAGCUAAUUUUUUUCUGUUUAUAUUAAAAUUUACCAGCAAUAAAUUCCUUUUAUUUUUUUCUACAUUUAUCUUAUUUACUAUACAACAGUAUACAUUCUUUUAAAUUGUAUCCUGUAUAUAGCUUUAGAAUUAAGUAAAAUAUGUCAUUGACCUUUGAGUUCCAAAAUUAUGAAUAUGUGAUACAGUUUGGUGAGAUUCCAUCUCUGAUUGACAUGUCUUGUCAGAGUAUGGAAUGAAUAAGUAAUUACCUUAUGGGUCAUUUCCAGUACUGUUGAUGACGUUCAGUCUUUUAGAAAUUAUUUGUAAGAUACUCAGCUUCACAGAAACAUUUUUAAAUGUAUAUAAAAUUAUAGUUAAUUAAAUAAAAAUUUUUAACAUUUUCCCCACAGUAUGUAGAGCCUUACUUUGAUUGAAUAUAAAAUCAGAAUCUAAGCAGAAAUCAUAUGGAAAUAAAUUCACAGCACAGAUAAAGGCCCUGUCGUUCAGUCAGAUUGCAAGCAUGCAAAGCUUAGUAAGUCCCCACACAUUAGGGAUACAGAGCUAUUGUGAUUUGUUUCCAGGGAAGUGCAAACUUCCACAGGAUGAGAGGAAUUUUGUCUCUCCUGUCUCACCUCAAGCUUGCAGACCAUCUGGCCUUGUAGGUAUUUUGUUAAAGACAGAAGUCUAACUUUAACUGGCGUGUGUUGUAAAAUUUAUUGUCCUAAAACAUGUUGAGGGAGGACCAGGCUACAGAAGGGCAGAAAGUCCGCCAUGUUUCCCUCUGCUGGGCUCAUUCUCGGUGACUGCUGGAGCGCCCCCCCCCCCUUGUCUGGAGGUGCUGACGGGCUUCCCUGCGGUCCAGCUGCCAGGAGACUGUCCCCCGGGCCUGCCUGCCUCCCCACCUCGUGUCAGAAGUUCUUGGUGUGGUGGUCAGUAGUGUCUGCUGCCCUUUAAUGGCUAGUGUUUUUGAAAUAAGCCUUAAAGAUUCAGUGUAUUUGAAAUGCCUUAAAGGUUAUUGUGGUUCUGAGUAUCGUUAGAAAAAGCUACACCUUUUCGUAUUGCAUGGAGGCUGGCAAUGCAAGAAUAUAUUUCUACAGCUUAAUUUCCUCAACGUGCUGAGAAAUUGAAUAGCAGAAAGGAAUGGAAUAGAGCAAGGCUUUAAAUUCAUAGUUACAAAGUAGCUUGGCUUUUAGAUGAGUUUUGCUAUAAUAGCUUAUGUGGCCUGUUGUGACGCCUUCUGUGCAUUAGGAGAGAGGAGUAUACGCAAUGCCAGUUGCACACUCAGGCUGCUCUUUCUGAUUGCUCUGUUUUCUCUCCAGGACAGACAUGCUGAAAAUAGUGUGAUUCUUUAUUAUUAGUCUGUUCACUCUUUUUCAUGCUCUCAGUAAUGUCAAAAUUGUAUUACUGCCAAGAGAAGAAUAGGGGUGCUAUGAAGAUUCAGAAAAUGCAGGCGUAACAUGGGCAUAGAUAAAGGUGAUUGAGUAGCCGUUCACCAGGCCUCAUUGCAACACUUACAUGUUUAAGAUUUCCAAGAUUUCCAAUUUAUUUUUAUUCAUUUUUAAAAGUUUCCAGCAUUCCAGUGUGCUUGACUAAUUGAUGCUGGUGUUUGCUGUAGUGGAGUGAACUUUGGUGUUACUGCCCCCAAAGUAAUCCAGCUUGCAACUUGUACUUUAGAACGUCAUAGGUGCAUUUUUGGGGAAAAAAAUUAUACAUUCACAUUUUAGAGAAUUUAAGUUUGUGAUCAUGUUAGCAGUAUUUAAAAAUAAAAAUUCCUGCAUAUUAGAUAUGAUCAUAAACCAAGUUGUUUUAUUUAAAACUAAACUCGCUACCCACUUGGAAUAAUUGAACAUUCCUAGACCACUCAUUCUCAAAUUUUUUUGUGUGGUUGCAUUUUGACCAUGGCUAGAAUUUUUUAAAAUGAAAUCUUAUGUCCAUAAUAACUUCAGUUUAUAUCCUUCUUGGAUCCAGGGCUCCUCACAAGUGAAAGGAUGAAACAAAGGGAAACUCUAAAAGCUCCCCUCGUGUGUGUUUCAUGACUUAGAGUGUUCUUCACACUACCUUUCCUCACCUGCUGCUUACAGGACUCCUAGAUCCUAACCACGAGCAUCAGCCUCGUCCGUCCGUGUCUCCAUCCGAGCCCACUCCUCUCGUUUUACAGAGAGCGUCACUUCCUUUGCUAGUUGGAGGCCGAGCUGACCCAGGUCUGCCAUAGCUUCGAAGCACUUGUAUCAUGGAAGGAUUUGAAAUCGCCGUAAUGUAAAGCAGCAGCUUUCCCUGUGUUUGAUAAGAAACUCCAAAUACUCUGGAGAACCUCAUGAUGAAGUUUGAGGGACUAGAUUGGGAUUUGAAAGCAUCAAAUUGUAGAAAAGUCUCCAGAUUUUACAAUAGCAAACAUUAAUAAAAGCAAAGUAUUAUAAAGUUAAACUCACCAUUUAUUAACUUUUUGAUGUUUUCAAAUGAAACAUAACCAUGGAAGGGACUUGGAUUCAGUUUGGCUGAGUCCUAACACCUAGAAGGAUGAUUUUUGUGGGCGUCUUUUCCUGUUUACAUAGAGGGGGAUCAUGUGGACAAAGAGAGAUGGAAUGAAAUACAAAUUUUCUUUGCAUUGCUGUUCUCACUAUCUUAUUUUCUAGAUUUUUCUCAUUCUCCAGUUUUAUUUUGGGUUAUUAAUUUUUAACAGGGAAAGCUUGCUGCAGUAUCAAGGUUGUUAGCACCAUUUAAUACGAAGGCUAAAGGUUAACUUUUGGAAAUGACCAGCUCCUUUUUAAAUAUCUGUUUACGUGCGCUUUGUGAUAUUUCUGGAUCAUUCCGGUCAUAAAGACUGAUCACGUGUACUAUUUCUUGCUACCUGUGAAAAGGGUUUUAAGAAUGUAUAACCAACACUCCAUUAGUUUUUAUUAGUGUGUAGAAGAUUUGUAUCUAAUUCAUGAAUGUAGUUUUACUGUAGUUUGUCAUUGUAAAUGGAGCAAAGUACAUUAUCUUUAUAGUUCUUCUAAAAUGUACAUUAUGUAAGAAUUGUAAAUAUACUUGAUUACUUUGUAUGCUGAAAAUUUACAAUAAUAAGUCAAUAAAAAUAUCUCACUUCUGGCACA